rnacentral:rRNA from 1 species
ACAACUUUCAACAACGGAUCUCUUGGCUCUUGCAUCGAUGAAAAACGCAGNGAAAUGCGAUAAGUAAUGGGAAUUGCAAAAUUCAGNGAAUCAUCGAAUCUUUGAACGCAUCUUGNCCUCCUUGGUAUUCUGAGGAGCAUGCCUGUUUGAGUGUCAUUAC